GAUGAACGCUGGCGGUAUGCUUAACACACGCAAGUCGAACGGAAUGCUUCGGCAUUUAGUGGCGGACGGGUGAGUAACGCGUGAGAACAUGCCUUUAGAUUGGGGACAACAGUUGGAAACGACUGCUAAUACCGAAUAUGCCUACGGGUGAAAGAUUUAUUGUCUAAAGAUUGGCUCGCGUCAGAUUAGCUAGUAGGAGUGGUAAUGGCACCCCUAGGCGACGAUCUGUACUUGGUCUGAGAGGAUGACCAGGCACACUGGAACUGAGACACGGUCCAGACUCCUACGGGAGGCAGCAGUGGGGAAUUUUUCCGCAAUGGGCGCAAGCCUGACGGAGCAAUACCGCGUGAGGGAGGACGGCUUUUGGGUUGUAAACCUCUUUUAUCAGGGAAGAAUCGAUGACGGUACCUGAUGAAUCAGCAUCGGCUAACUCCGUGCCAGCAGCCGCGGUAAU
rnacentral:rRNA from 1 species